AAAGCGUCCGCAGGCGGUUUUACAAGUCUGUCGUUAAAACGUGGAGCUCAACUCCAUUUCGGCGAUGGAAACUGUAAGACUAGAGUGUGGUAGGGGCAGAGGGAAUUCCCGGUGUAGCGGUGAAAUGCGUAGAUAUCGGGAAGAACACCAGUGGCGAAGGCGCUCUGCUGGGCCAUAACUGACGCUCAUGGACGAAAGCUAGGGGAGCGAAAGGGAUUAGAUACCCUAGU
rnacentral:rRNA from 1 species